GAUGAACGCUGGCGGCGUGCCUAACACAUGCAAGUCGAACGGAGCGCCCGGACGGAGUAUUUCGGUACAAAGACCGGGUGGCUGAGUGGCGGACGGGUGAGUAACGCGUGGACAACCUGCCGUGUACAGGGGGAUAACAGCCGGAAACGGCUGCUAAUACCGCAUAUGCGCACAGUGCCGCAUGGCACAGGGCGGAAAGCCUAGAUCUUAUCUAGUACGGUACACGAUGGGUCCGCGUCUGAUUAGGUAGUUGGCGGGGUAACGGCCCACCAAGCCCACGAUCAGUAGCCGGCCUGAGAGGGCGGACGGCCACACUGGGACUGAGACACGGCCCAGACUCCUGCGGGAGGCAGCAGUGGGGAAUAUUGCACAAUGGGGGGAACCCUGAUGCAGCGACGCCGCGUGAAGGAAGAAGUAUCUCGGUAUGUAAACUUCUAUCAGCAGGGAAGAAAGAGGACGGUACCUGACUAAGAAGCCCCGGCUAACUACGUGCCAGCAGCC
rnacentral:rRNA from 1 species